UUGAAGGAGUAAACUGGCUCUUCCAGCCUACAUCUUUCUCCCAUGCUGGAUGCUUCCUACCCUCAACAUUGGACUCCAAGUUCUUCAGCUUUGGGACUCCAGGACUCUUUGGGACUCUUCAACCACAGACUGAAGGCUGCACUGUCGGCUUCCCUAUUUUUGAGGUUUUGGGACUCAAACUGGCUUUCUUGCUCCUCAGCUUGCAGACGGCCUAUUGUGGGACUUCCCCUUGUGAUCAUAAUUCCCCCCCUGGGGUCCUCUUGGCUUCUCUCUCCUGUCGUGGAACCAUGCCUCACAAAGCAAGGGCUGUUGGCCCAGAGUACUCUCUGCUUACCGCAUGAAAGAACCUCUGAUUCAUGCAUGAGGCUGGAUGUAUGAAAGGAGCCCAUAGCUCUCCAUCACACUCCCCUGAAACAUAGCCUCAGCAACAAACUUCUAGAGCAGAACGAGAAAUGAUGAAGCCCCGCUCUUCCUGGGAAGCAGAAAAGCUACAGCUGAAAGAUGGGGAGUAGUUUUGGAAUUUUCACCACUUACUAGUUAUUUUGGAGAGUGGAUCAGUAGAACGCCUCAUGCUGUCAUCAUAAAAGUUGAUCAAAGUAUUGUUUUCUUUCAGUCCACUAAUUAUAUUUUGUCCUCACAUUAUAUUCUACCAAAAUUCUGUUUCACCAUAGUCCAAGUUUUUUAAAAAGUUUUCUUGCCCUGUUCUUAUUAUGCAAAACGUAAGAACUAUCCUUUUCCACCAUCUCUUUGAAAAAUCAAAUAUAAAACUGAAACACAAUUC
rnacentral:lncRNA from 1 species